UGGGGAAUCUUGCGCAAUGGGCGAAAGCCUGACGCAGCGACGCCGCGUGGGCGAAGAAGGCCUUCGGGUUGUAAAGCCCUGUGGGGGAGAACGAACCGUACGGGGGCGAAUACCCUCCGUGCCUGACGGUACUCCUUUAGCAAGCAUCGGCUAACUCUGUGCCAGCAGCCGCGGUAAGACAGAGGAUGCAAACGUUGCUCGGAAUUACUGGGCGUAAAGCGCGUGUAGGCGGUCUGGUAAGUCGGACGUG
rnacentral:rRNA from 1 species